GCUUGUAAUCCUAGAUAGUGGGGUUUUUAGCUUUCUUCUCAAGCCUCGAGCUUUGAGGUAUUUGUAAUAAAUUUUUUUUAUAUAAAAUCUUAUUUUUAUGCAAUUUUAUCUCUUUACAUUAUGCAAUUUAUUUUUCUUGCAAUUAGGAUAGUUUAAUUUAUGCAAUUUAAUUUUAUGCAAUUAGGUUAGUUUAAAUUAUGCAGUUUAAAUUUAUGCAAUUAGGAUAGUUUAAUUUAUGAAAUUAGGAUAAUUUAUUUUUCUGCAUUUAAAUUUUGUAAGUAGAUUUAGAUCAUGUCUAGCUAAGCAUCCCUUCUAGGAUUUGCGAUGAAGCUAGAUCAUGAGUAGGGAUUUUACAUAGGAUUCUUUCUUUUUCUUAGGAUUUCUUUUUCUUCCUCUUUUGCCAAAAAUUUUUGAUGAACUACAGUUGGGUCAGAGUCCCUUCAUAGUUCAUGCUUGAUUCAGUGCAUAGGAGGAGA
rnacentral:lncRNA from 1 species